rnacentral:lncRNA from 13 species
UAGUUUGUUAAGAAUUUGUUGUAAAGUCAGUGUUGACAGCCCUGUGUGAGAAACUAAUGGAGAAAGGGUAAUGACUUCACUGUAUGAGCUUUAUUCCUUGAAUUUAGAUUUGGGACCAUGUUUUAGAGAGUUAAAAUUUGGGAAAAUUUGACUUCUACUUAACUAGAGUGUUACCUAAUGAAUGCAUUUUUAAAAGUUGGAAAUAUCUUUGUGCCACUGAGGCAUGCCUACGAGAUCACAAGCAUCUUUUUUCUCUUGUGACAUUUGACUGGAAUCAGACAACGUGCUGAGAUUUGACAAUCGCUGCGAACAGUGGAAAGAGGAAAACAGAUCUGUGUCCCAUCAACUUCACAGUGAAGCCCGCGCAUUCUGGGAUUUCUCUGGCACGGGUUGCUGAACCCCGACCAGAAUAAAGUCUAGUGGGGCUGUACCAGACAUAAUCGGGACCAACAGGCGCUUCCACCUCUGAACCCCGGAGUCUUUGGGAUCUGUGCCACAGCAGUUCUAACAAUCGUAACUGCCAACACCGGCCACAGAGCAGCCAAGCUGGACCUCAGUCCAGAGGAAUAAUUGACUAUUACCCAGUUUGGUGCAUGUCUUUAUCAGCAGCAUGAAAACAGACUAAUAGACUCACAACCGGGAUUAGUGCCCUUGACAAAAGUGACUCCAGUGAGCUCCCUC